GGGCACAGCUCAGACCCCACCCCCGCAAGGCUCUCCGCUCAGCCCUGACAGCGAGCAGGGGGAGUGGUGUCUUCUUUAACUGAUCUUUGCUCACCAACCGAUCAAAAAUCAAGCCCUGUUAUUUAAAAUCCGAUUUCCUGGGAAGCCCUCACGUGGGUCCUUUGGGACUGAGGACGUAAGAGGUUGCCUUGAGUCUCAGAAGAGACUUUGGACUUUUGAAGUGUUAAACUGUUAAAAGACUAUGGGGACUUUUGAAGUUGGACUGCAUAGCUUUGUACCAUGAGAUGGCCAUGAACUCAUGUGGUCCAGAGGCCAACUGUAGAGGUCUAGUCAGCUGGACAUGUUCAGUCUGUUAUUUUCUUUCUCUGCUCCAGUUUCUUCCAGAUGUCUCUGGCUGUUGUCUUUCACAUCUAAACAAAAACCUUCUGCUCAACCAUACCAUGGAGCAGUCAUGUUGUCAGUUUACACAAUAAAUAUCUGCUGUAUUAUGGGCUGGAAUGAUAGCUCAGUGAUUAAGAGCACUUGCUGCUCUUGCAGGGAGCCAAGGUUUGAAUCUUAGCACCCACACUGGACAGUUCAUACCU